GGAGUCGGACCUGCCCAGUGACAAGUUUAACGGCCGCAGUACUCUGACUGUGCAAAGGUAGCAUAAUCAUUUGCCCUAUAAUUGAGGGCUAGUAUGAAUGGUUUGACAAGAGUAAUACUGUCUCUUUAAAGAUUUUUUAGAAUUUAAUUUUUAGGUGAAGAAUCCUAAAUAUAAUUAAAAGACAAGAAGACCCUAUCGAGCUUUAAAAAAAUAGGUAAAUUAAAUUUAUAUAUAGCAUAUAUAUUAUUACUUAAAAUUUUGGUUGGGGCGACUAAGGAACAUAUAAAGCUUCUUCUAAAAAAUUAAGCUUACUCGCUUUGAUCCAGUAAAAUACUGAUUAAAAGAAUUAGUUACCGUAGGGAUAACAGCAUAAUCUUCUUCAAGAGUUCAUAUCGAAAAGAAGGUUUGUGACCUCGAUGUUGGACUAGAAUAUCCUAAAGAUGCAGAAGUCUUUAAG
rnacentral:rRNA from 1 species